rnacentral:hammerhead_ribozyme from 1 species
AUAAGCUGACGAGUCCCGAAUAGGACGAAAGACGCGUCUUGAAU